AUGGAUGAACGCCGGUGGCCAGCACCUUCUGCCACAGCUACAAGCAUGGAGUCGCGGAAGAAACGAGCUGCCUCUGAUUGUGCGUCACGGGACUCUCCAUCCACCGCAGCACAGCCUGAUCCUCCUCUUCUUUCACAAGCGCAGAAAAGGGAAAGGGUGGAUCCAACAAUGUCUGAUGUUGAUGAUGCCAGAUCAGCAGCAGAUGGUGAUAUAGAGGAAUGGGUUGAGGUUAACGAAGGAUACGAAGAGGUUGAUGAGGCAGAUGCGUAUGACAUGGAUGAUGAUAUGUCAGAUCCUUCUCAAGGAUUGGGUGACAAAGGAAAUGAUGUACAAGCUGAGGUCAAUGACAAUGAGAAAACAAAGAGAGGGAUAAGGAAAAACGCAAUAGUUGAUGUUGGUAAUAAGGUUAAGGUGAGGAAAACUAGAGUUAAGCAUGCGCCAUGUUGGCAACAUUUCAAGGAGGUCAAAGCUGUAUGCAAGAAGAAACCAGGGGCGGUCGUCACGAAGGCAAAAUUCUUGCAUUGUUGUAACUUGUUUUCUUAUACUCUAGGGGGAGCAACUACUAGUCUCAAUCAGCAUGUAGAUGUUUGUGCGGACUAUCUAAACAAGAAGGGAAGACAACAACGACAAGGUACAAUCAAUUUGGAUCCUGAAAAGCCAGGUGCAUCUCUUAUAGUGAAUCAUGAAUAUGAUCAUGAACAAGUCGUUAAAAUCAUAGCAAAGAUGAUAAUUGUGCAUGAAUAUCCUUUUAGGAUGGUAGAGCAUGCUUGGUUUAAUAUCCUCAUGAGAUAUAUGAAUGCAUCAUACAAGUUCAUUGGUAGGAAGAAAAUUAGAGCCGAAUGCAUGAAGGUGUAUCUUUCUGAGAAAGAAAUCCUUAAGAAGCAACUAAGGUCUGUUGAGAGCAUUAGUUUGACAAGUGAUAUAUGGACUUCCAACCAGAAUCUUUCCUACCUAGCUGUUGUUGCUCACUACAUAGAUGAGGAUUGGGUUAUGCAAUGUCGUGUUUUAAACUUGAUAGAGUUAGACCCACCUCACAUAGGCUUUGUCAUAGCUCAAGCUGUUUUUGAAUGCUGCCAAGAAUGGAAAAUAGAAGAUAAGAUCAUGACAAUGACCAUGGAUAAUGCUGCCUCGAAUGAUUCUGCCGCUAAGAAAUUGAUGGACAAGUUCACUGCUAGGAAAUCAGCAAAAUUCAUAUCUAAGUACUUCCAUGUUCGAUGCUGCGCACACAUAGUGAAUUUGAUAGUCAAUGAUGGCAUGGAACCAUUGCAGCCUUUGAUAGGCAACCUCAAAGAAACUGUCAAGUACUUGAAAAAAUCUCCAUCACGCAUGUCAAACUUCUUGUCAGAUUACAAGUCUCUUAAUAUUAUAGUUGGAAAAGGAUUAUGCCUAGAUGUAGCAACUAGAUGGAGUUCUACAUACAGAAUGAUAGAUGCUUGCACUUUGUAUAAGGAAGCUUUCCAUGGGUAUGCACAAUCAGAUCCUAAUUAUGAAUGGCAGCCCGAUGAUGAAGAUUGGGUACUAUAUGGUAGAAUUCAACCCAUCUUGAAAUCAUUUGCUGAGAGUUCAAUUUCAGGUAGGCAAGCAUCUACAUCUAUGACCACAUUGUCGAGUGGGUUUCAAUCCUUUCUCGAGGAGACAAAUUCAGAGCCAUGCAAAUCUGAAUUGACUACUUAUCUUGAAGACAAGACUCAUCCCAUUAAUGAUCCAAGUUUCACAUUACUUGACUGGUGGAGGUUGAAUGCUCAUAGAUAUCCUAUUGUGGCAAAAAUGGCAAAGAAGUUCUUUACUAUACCAGCUACUAGUGUUUCAUCAGAGUCAACAUUCUCUAUAGGAGGUAGAGUUCUAGAUGACUACCGUAGUUCUCUACUCCCAAGCAUGGUUGAGGCACUUAUUUGUGCUUCUAACUUCAUCAAAGGAUCAAAAGAAAACCACAUUAGGCCUACAACCAUAGUGGAAGAUGACAUUGAUGAUGUUGUUGAGUUCAUUCCAUUUCCUGAAUCUAUUGUGGAAAGCAACUAG
rnacentral:rRNA from 1 species